rnacentral:rRNA from 1 species
UACGUAGGGGGCGAGCGUUGUCCGGAGUUACUGGGCGUAAAGGGCACGCAGGCGGUGCAGCGCGUUUCGCGUGACAGCGGAGGGCUUAACCCUCCGAGGAUGGGAAAGACGGCAGCACUUGAGGACCAGAGAGGGACACGGAAUUCCGGGUGGAGUGGUGAAAUGCGUAGAGAUCCGGAGGAACACCGAGGGCGAAGGCAGUGUCCUGGCUGGUAACUGACGCUGAGGUGCGAAAGCUAGGGGAGCGAACGGG